CUACGGGCUGCUCCAGUGGGGAAUAUUGCACAAUGGGCGAAAGCCUGAUGCAGCAACGCCGCGUGAGGGACGACGGCCUUCGGGUUGUAAACCUCUUUUAGCAGGGAAGAAGCGAAAGUGACGGUACCUGCAGAAAAAGCACCGGCUAACUACGUGCCAGCAGCCGCGGUAAUACGUAGGGUGCAAGCGUUGUCCGGAAUUAUUGGGCGUAAAGAGCUCGUAGGCGGUUUGUCGCGUCUGCUGUGAAAAUCCGAGGCUCAACCUCGGACCUGCAGUGGGUACGGGCAAACUAGAGUGCGGUAGGGGAGAUUGGAAUUCCUGGUGUAGCGGUGGAAUGCGCAGAUAUCAGGAGGAACACCAAUGGCGAAGGCAGAUCUCUGGGCCGUAACUGACGCUGAGGAGCGAAAGCGUGGGGAGUGAACAGGAUUAGAUACCCCAGUAGUC
rnacentral:rRNA from 1 species